rnacentral:rRNA from 1 species
AUACGGAGGGAGCGAGCGUUGUUCGGAAUCACUGGGCGUAAAGCGUACGUAGGCGGUCCUGCAAGUCAGGAGUGAAAGCCCAGGGCUUAACCUUGGAAUUGCUCUUGAAACUGCAAGACUAGAGUCCCGGAGAGGUUGGCGGAAUUCCGAGUGUAGAGGUGAAAUUCGCAGAUAUUCGGAGGAACACCAGUGGCGAAAGCGGCCAACUGGACGGGAACUGACGCUGAGGUACGAAAGCGUGGGGAGCAAACAGGAUUAGAUACCCUGGUAGUCCACGCCGUAAACGAUGUGUGCUAGCUGUCGGGGCCUAUGGUCUCGGUGGCGGACCUAACGGAUUAAGCACACCGCCUGGGGAGUACGGUCGCAAGAUUAAA